UCUGGGAUCGUGAUGAGCUGGGCUCAGCUCCAGCCGUCCUCUGUCUUUGUAGCCGCUGUCAAGCACGGCUGUGACCUUGCAGACACACCGUGUGUCCGUUUGUGUAACGGCAGCCCGUCGAAUUGUCUGUUUCACCUCAGCGGCAAUCCUGUGCUCCUCUACUGCGCGUGCGUCCCAUUCAACCUCCUGUAGACUCUCCCAGAUAAAAAUAUGCACACCCCACCCCCUUAUCCAGGAACACAGGGAGCUUCCAAGAAGUAAAUGAGGAGAGAGAGAGAGCAAGAACUCCAAGAGUCCACGAGCACCACCGCCUGCUUGGUCCUGUUCCAGUUCCCCGUCCCAGCUUUUCCAUCUCAUGGGCACAGGUCCACCCUCUGGGGCCAAACCAGUUUGUUCUGCAAAGGCUUUGAAACCGUGCCAGGGUAUGUUGUUUAGAUGGAUUCCUGCCUUCAACACACACUGUCCUGAAACCAGCCCUGAACCAAAACCCUUAGACCCCUGCAUUGAGCCUAGAAUCCUCCGUCCUCCUGGUGAGAUCUCCCGGGGUGUCCACGAGUCCAACAGAGUCUCCUUCAGGUUUCCCUCACCUGCCUCACAGGGAGGCAGUGUUGCUCAGUCCCAUUCCUUUCUUGUAAGGAGGCACGAUCUCUGUGCAACGGGUCUCCCCUUCUUCAGAACUCCGCAAGUUCAAGCCGGGGAAAGGGCUCUCUUCGUCACACCAACAGUGCGGAUCCCCUCCUGGGAUAUCAGUGCAUUCUACUCUCAUGAUGAGGAGGCCAUUCAAGUGAUGUCAUUCAUUAAAG